ACAAUAACUAAAGCAUAGAAGGAAGGCUAAAAUAAGAAUUCAGAAACUAUAAACCGGCUCUCUUCUAGCUUACGACACAAACUAUGAGUGAGAAAAGGACAAAUGAUUCGCUCUUUGCUUCAUUUUUUCCGAGGUUGUCACAACAUGAAAUGUCAUUUGGACCUAUUGGACUCAUUUUAACUCGGCCAAAUACAUAGUAACAUACAUAAGAAGAUUUUACUUAUAUUUACCGAACUAUUUGACACGGUCGCGUCAACUGUGUUUACGAGUGUCUUGUGUUCAGAUUGUUUUAAGUGAUAAUUUAACAAUAUUUUUCCAAAUAAAUGGAAAGAAACUUUUAUUUAUAUCAAAUAAUUGAGUGUCUCGACUGUGUGACAUUAUGUCUUGUGUGGUAUGGGGCUGCAGCUCACAUUCAGGAAGAAAAGAAAAUAGCCAACAACUUCUGUCGUUUCAUCGAUAUUAAAUCCAAAAGUGUCGACUGGAUUUACAUGAAAAGUCAGUUCAAGAAGACGAGAUGAAAAAUUUAAAAGAAAAGCUGAACAAGUCCCGCCUCAAGAUCAAACGACUUAAUGAAAAAAAAAAAACAAUGUGACAGGGUGUCACAAAGACAGUUUCUAAGCAAAUUGACACUGUUUAGAAAUUAAUAAAUUUGUAUUUAUUGUAAAUAUAAUGUACAUAAUUAAUAACGUGUGAAAUAAAUACUUGCUAAUGAACAGAUUUACGAUCUAAUUUAUAUUUCAUUUUACCUCCUGUUCUUAUUUACUCCUACUCCAACACUCCAGGUUGAUACGAACUGCGCCCAAUAAAGAAUGUAAUGAAUGUUAUAGAUUUGUGUAAGCGACUUAGAUAAAUCUUGACUAAACCUUCCUUUACAAAUACAAAUAUACUUUAUUGCACACAACAUACAAUACUUACAAGUUUUACACGAAAGAUACAGUACACCACCUACCUACCUUUUACUUUCCCUUUCUGUUCUCUUAUGAAUACUUGUAUGCCGUAUUUUUUUAAGUAUAAUGCUAUAUCUAGUAGGUACGAGUAUGGUAAUCCUAGUAUUGAAACAGCUUGUAGCCCUAGUAAAGACCGCCAUUUUAUGUUUACAGAGUGGCACGUUUUUUCUGUAGGUAU
rnacentral:lncRNA from 1 species